rnacentral:rRNA from 1 species
AGGGAAUCUUCCACAAUGGACGCAAGUCUGAUGGAGCAACGCCGCGUGAGUGAAGAAGGUUUUCGGAUCGUAAAGCUCUGUUGUUGGUGAAGAAGGAUAGAGACAGUAACUGGUCUUUAUUUGACGGUAAUCAACCAGAAAGUCACGGCUAACUACGUGCCAGCAGCCGCGGUAAUACGUAGGUGGCAAGCGUUGUCCGGAUUUAUUGGGCGUAAAGCGAGCGCAGGCGGAAUGAUAAGUCUGAUGUGAAAGCCCACGGCUCAACCGUGGAACUGCAUCGGAAACUGUCAUUCUUGAGUGCAGAAGAGGAGAGUGGAACUCCAUGUGUAGCGGUGGAAUGCGUAGAUAUAUGGAAGAACACCAGUGGCGAAGGCGGCUCUCUGGUCUGCAACUGACGCUGAGGCUCGAAAGCAUGGGUAGCGAACAGGAUUAGAUACCCUGGUAGUCCAUGCCGUAAACGAUGAGCGCUAGGUGUUGGGGACUUUCCGGUUCUCAGUGCCGCAGCAAACGCAUUAAGCGCUCCGCCUGGGGAGUACGACCGCAAGGUUGAAAC